UACGAAGGGGGCUAGCGUUGCUCGGAAUUACUGGGCGUAAAGGGAGCGUAGGCGGAUAGUUUAGUCAGAGGUGAAAGCCCAGGGCUCAACCUUGGAAUUGCCUUUGAUACUGGCUAUCUUGAGUAUGGGAGAGGUGUGUGGAACUCCGAGUGUAGAGGUGAAAUUCGUAGAUAUUCAGAAGAACACCAGUGGCGAAGGCGACACACUGGCCCAUUACUGACGCUGAGGCUCGAAAGCGUGGGGAGCAAACAGG
rnacentral:rRNA from 1 species